rnacentral:piRNA from 1 species
CUCUUUGCUUUUUGUAUUGCUAUUGUUCC